GCCAGACUCCUACGGGAGGCAGCAGUGGGGAAUAUUGCACAAUGGGGGGAACCCUGAUGCAGCGACGCCGCGUGAGUGAAGAAGUAUUUCGGUAUGUAAAGCUCUGUCAGCAGGGAAGAAGAAAGACGGUACCUGACCAAGAAGCCCCGGCUAACUACGUGCCAGCAGCCGCGGUAAUACGUAGGGGGCAAGCGUUAUCCGGAUUUACUGGGUGUAAGGGGAGCGUAGACGGCUGCGCAAGUCAGAAGUGAAAGCCCGGGGCUCAACCGCGGGACUGCUUUUGAAACUGUAUAGCUAGAGUGCAGGAGAGGUAAGUGGAAUUCCUAGUGUAGCGGUGAAAUGCGUAGAUAUUAGGAGGAACACCGGUGGCGAAGGCGGCUUACUGGACUGUAACUGACGUUGAGGCUCGAAAGCGUGGGGAGCAAACAGGAUUAGAUACCCCUGUAA
rnacentral:rRNA from 1 species